rnacentral:hammerhead_ribozyme from 1 species
GUCCAACUGACGAGUCCCAAAAACAACGAAACGCGCAUCUUGGAU